rnacentral:rRNA from 1 species
UACAGAGGGCUCAAGCGUUGUUCGGAUUCAUUGGGCGUAAAGGGUGCGUAGGCGGCGCGGUAAGUCGGGUGUGAAAUCUCGGGGCUUAACUCCGAAACUGCAUUCGAUACUGCCGUGCUUGAGGACUGGAGAGGAGACUGGAAUUUACGGUGUAGCGGUGAAAUGCGUAGAUAUCGUAAGGAAGACCAGUGGCGAAGGCGGGCCUCUGGACAGAUCCUGACGCUGAGGCACGAAAGCGAGGGGAGCAAACGGG